UUGCAUCAAACAAAAUUCAGAAAAUGUACAAUUUAAACAAUAUUUGGUGGUGGAGCAACUUACGUCAAUCGUCGUGAAGCAAUAUCCUAUAAGUAUAUUUUAAAUACUAAAUAUCUAUAAAGGCUUGUC
rfam:Flavobacterium branchiophilum FL-15, complete genome.